GACGAACGCUGGCGGCGUGCUUAACACAUGCAAGUCGAACGGAAAGACCCUGCUUUUGUGGGGUGUUCGAGUGGCGAACGGGUGAGUAACACGUGAGUAACCUGCCCUUGACUUUGGGAUAACUUCAGGAAACUGGGGCUAAUACCGGAUAGGAGCUCCUGCUGCAUGGUGGGGGUUGGAAAGUUUCGGCGGUUGGGGAUGGACUCGCGGCUUAUCAGCUUGUUGGUGGGGUAGUGGCUUACCAAGGCUUUGACGGGUAGCCGGCCUGAGAGGGUGACCGGCCAAAUUGGGAAUGAGAUACGGCCCAGACUCCUACGGGAGGCAGCAGUGGGGAAUAUUGCACAAUGGGCGGAAGCCUGAUGCAGCAACGCCGCGUGCGGGAUGACGGCCUUCGGGUUGUAAACCGCUUUCGCCUGUGACGAAGCGUGAGUGACGGUAAUGGGUAAAGAAGCACCGGCUAACUACGUG
rnacentral:rRNA from 1 species